rnacentral:pre_miRNA from 1 species
UAGAUAUAUUGAGUAGCUAAUUAACUCAGGUGUGUGUGUUGUUAUGGUGCACCUCCAAUAGUUGAAGCUGCCAGCAUGAUCUA